AAUAGAUACCCCGGUAGUCCACGCCGUAAACGAUGAAUGCUAGGUGUCAGGGGUUUCGAUACCCUUGGUGCCGAAGUUAACACAUUAAGCAUUCCGCCUGGGGAGUACGGUCGCAAGACUGAAACUCAAAGGAAUUGACGGGGACCCGCACAAGCAGUGGAGUAUGUGGUUUAAUUCGAAGCAACGCGAAGAACCUUACCAGGUCUUGACAUCCCUCUGACCGUUCUAGAGAUAGAGCUUCCCUUCGGGGCAGAGGAGACAGGUGGUGCAUGGUUGUCGUCAGCUCGUGUCGUGAGAUGUUGGGUUAAGUCCCGCAACGAGCGCAACCCUUGAUCUUAGUUGCCAGCAUUGAGUUGGGCACUCUAGGAUGACUGCCGGUGACAAACCGGAGGAAGGUGGGGAUGACGUCAAAUCAUCAUGCCCCUUAUGACCUGGGCUACACACGUACUACAAUGGCCGGUACAACGGGCAGCGAAGGAGCGAUCCGGAGCGAAUCCCAAAAAGCCGGUCUCAGUUCGGAUUGCAGG
rnacentral:rRNA from 1 species